AUGCCAAGGGAGGAUUUGCCAAUGCCCUCAGCUGAGCAUCAGCAAGAGCAGAUGCUGUCACCAAAAAACAAUCUCACUCCUUGCAAGUACCAGCAGUCUGCUUCAAAAGGAUUCAUCACGGAGCCCAUAAAAGAGCUUGCUCAAUCACAGGGGACACUGAGCCUCAAAAUACAACAGAUUCUGACAGCUCUUAUGCACAGGAUGGUGGCAAGAAAAAAAUGCAAGCAAUCAGCUGUGAAAACAAGUACCAUUUGAAUUGCCACUUUUUCUUACAACUCAGUGAGAGGGUUUGAAUUAAUCUUGCACAACAUAACAGGGUGCAGGUAAGCUGCUUUCUGUGGUAUCUGCUUUGGUCCUAUGGGAGAGGAUGGCACAGUGGGCAUGUGGUGGGUUGUAAUCCCACAGUAAUCUGUUUUUAUUAUUUCCUUCGUUGUAGUUUUUGAAGGCACACAACUAUAUUGUUGUGCACAAAUAGAGGCAAAGCUUGUUGUUGUUUUUAAUUUACCAUUCUUAUUUUUAGCAUUUAAAUAAUCUUGACUAUUAUGUUCUCAACUCUUAAGGGAGCUUUUAUUUUUUUCUUACAAAAUGUAAAAUUCUUACCAUAUUCAUACAUUGCAGCUUAAAAAAAAAUGGAGUUGUGGUUGUAAUAAGUCAGAAGAUAAAUAUCUGGGAAGUCCUGGAAAUGCAUAGGAUUUUCUGUUGGCAAGAGUACUGUUCUUUUUCCAGUCCUUGGAGAUGGAACAUAACCCUCAGUUACUCUUCUCUUGCCCCAUAAGCAAGGUGAAACCUUUUCAGUUUUGCUGAUGAAAUCCUUCAAAUCUGGGGAAGAUCCUUAGUUACUGUUGAGGGAUUUGUCUUCAUAAUUCAAGUAUAUUUACUCCAUAUUCCCGAGCCCCUAAUGUUUAUAUAUCAGAGGUUGACUAAGGUAUAUAGAAAGAAAUACAAUGUCAAGCUAGGAUGGUGACUGCUUAACAAGCCCAGUGAAAUAAUAAUGUAUGCAAAAGGAGGCUACUGGCAAUACCUCAUUUCCUUUAUUUUUAUAUGAAGACACAGUGGUGUAAGUAUCAGCUGGGAAAUGCUGACCCCUUGAGAUGGAACAACAGCAGAUUGUUUAAUGUUUUCCAUUUCUAUAUACUUAAUUUUCAUACUUCCUGUGAACUAAUUCCAUCCUUUAAAUUAGUGCUGCCUUCCAACACACCUAAUGUUCGUCAGACAAAAAAGAUAUGACUUAAAGCUCUGGAAUAUUAGCAAGAAGAGCAAGUAACCAAUACAUUGAAGCCUUCAUGUACAAGUUUCCAAAAUACCCAUCUCUCUGACACUGACAGGGCAGUAAAGAUAAAUCUGUGGUUUGAUCCCAUGCUAUCAAAACCUUGAGAUGCUUCGUAUUUGGGAACUUUAAAAAGUCACUUAUUUACAGUCUUCAGCUGAUUAGUCUUUCUCCCAAUACUCCUGUUUAAGCUAGGAUUAAUUUCAGCAGAGCACGUUAAAUAAACUUUCAUUAACAAUUUAGAUAAUUUAAAAA
rnacentral:lncRNA from 1 species